rnacentral:rRNA from 1 species
UACGUAGGGGGCAAGCGUUGUCCGGAUUUAUUGGGCGUAAAGAGCGUGUAGGCGGCCACACAGGUCAGCUGUGAAAACUCGAGGCUCAACCUCGAGACGUCGGUUGAAACCGUAUGGCUAGAGUCCGGAAGAGGAGAGUGGAAUUCCCGGUGUAGCGGUGAAAUGCGCAGAUAUCGGGAAGAACACCCGUGGCGAAGGCGGCUCUCUGGGACGGUACUGGACGCUGAGACGCGAAAAGCGUGGGGAGCGAACAGG